GGAUAACACUGAGAAAUUGGUACUAAUACCCCAUAAUAUCAUAGAAGGCAUCUUUUAUGGUUGAAAAUUCCGAUGGUUAGAGAUGGGCAUGCGUUGUAUUAGCUAGUUGGUGGGGUAACGGCUCACCAAGGCGACGAUACAUAGGGGGACUGAGAGGUUAACCCCCCACACUGGUACUGAGACACGGACCAGACUCCUACGGGAGGCAGCAGUGAGGAAUAUUGGUCAAUGGACGCAAGUCUGAACCAGCCAUGCCGCGUGCAGGAUGACGGCUCUAUGAGUUGUAAACUGCUUUUGUACGAGGGUAAACGCAGAUACGUGUAUCUGUCUGAAAGUAUCGUACGAAUAAGGAUCGGCUAACUCCGUGCCAGCAGCCGCGGUAAUACGGAGGAUUCAAGCGUUAUCCGGAUUUAUUGGGUUUAAAGGGUGCGUAGGCGGUUUGAUAAGUUAGAGGUGAAAUUUCGGGGCUCAACCCUGAACGUGCCUCUAAUACUGUUGAGCUAGAGAGUAGUUGCGGUAGGCGGAAUGUAUGGUGUAGCGGUGAAAUGCUUAGAGAUCAUACAGAACACCGAUUGCGAAGGCAGCUUACCAAACUAUAUCUGACGUUGAGGCACGAAAGCGUGGGGAGCAAACAGGAUUAGAUACCCUGGUAGUCCACGCAGUAAACGAUGAUAACUCGUUGUCGGCGAUACACAGUCGGUGACUAAG
rnacentral:rRNA from 1 species